GUUUCAUACACCAAGCCAGGUAGAGGUAGCCUGCAAGAGAUUUAAAGGCGUGUUACUCUGUAUUCAGGAAAAUAUCUUGCCUUAGUUUCAUUUGAUGAACCCUUGUGAAGCAGUAGUCUCAUCUCAAACCACGGAGGAGAGCCAGGAACUGGUUUAAGUAUCAAGGGCCCUGUGG